rnacentral:tRNA from 1 species
GGACUGUAGCUCAGUGGUAGAGUGCUUGCCUAGCAUGUGUGAAGCACUGGGUUUGAUCCUCAGCACCA